GCCGGCUUAGCUCAAUUGGUAGAGCAACUGACUUGUAAUCAGUAGGUUGAGGGUUCAAGUCCUUUAGCCGUCUCCA
rnacentral:tRNA from 1 species